rnacentral:rRNA from 1 species
AACGAACGCUGGCGGUAUGCCUAACACAUGCAAGUCGAACGCACCUUUACGGUGAGUGGCGGACGGGUGAGUAAAUGCAUGGGUAUCUGCCUUGCACUGGGGGAUAACAUCUGGAAACAGAUGCUAAUACCGCAUAUUCCAUAUUGGGAAAGCUACGGCGGUGCAAGAUGAGCCCAUGUCCGAUUAGCUAGUUGGUAAGGUAAGAGCUUACCAAGGCUACGAUCGGUAGCUGGUCUGAGAGGAUGAUCAGCCACACUGGAACUGAGACACGGUCCAGACUCCUACGGGGAGGCAGCAGUGGGGAAUAUUGCGCAAUGGGCGAAAGCCUGACGCAGCAAUACCGCGUGUGUGAUGAAGGCCCUAGGGUUGUAAAGCACUUUCGCAGGGAAGACAAAGACGGUACCCUGAUAAGAAGUCCCGGCUAACUCCGUGCCAGCAGCCGCGGUAAUACGGAGGGGGCAAG